rnacentral:lncRNA from 1 species
GUUUAAUCUACAAAAGACUAUCAGUGGUGUUCGAAUGAAAUCAAAUAUUAAUAAAUUCAUCAAAGAUACCAGGAGUGAUAUUUUGUACGCGAGAUGCGCGUUGCGUCUACAAGAGACUCUCUAACAAAACAAAUGUUAAAACGACCUAAUAAAGCACGAAUUUGAGAGCCAAAAAUAAGCGUAGGUAAUCUAAUGUUCGUAUUCAUGCAAUGGACGAUAUGUAGUGUUUUCUUUUAUUGAGCUUAGU